CCUUUUUCAAAGCAAUGCGGGCUUUGAGAAUUUCGAUGAUAGAUUUUUUUUCUUUCACUGUCAUUUCCUCAGGUUCCAUUUUUGAAACCUUUUCUUUUAACUGUCGAAUGCCCUGGCGAAGUAAUGUCAAUUCCUUAGAAGCCGUUACGGUUUCCCGAGCCUCUUGAGAUGCCAAAAAUUCCAACAGUCGACUUUGUAGUAUAGAAAAGUCUUGUUGCGAAAGUAAUUCUGCACUAGUGUCCUUAAUAUGAUGUGCUGGAUCCAUCGUGAUAAAACUGUAGUACCUCAAGGUAUCCUUUUCAAAUAUGUAGCCAGCUCUUAGCAGCUAAAUGUUCAAAAAUAAGGGAAACUUCAAGAUCACUUUAGUAAUUCACGGUUGGCAUUAGCGAAAAAUCAGCAUACAAAGCCA